UACGUAGGGCGCAAGCGUUAUCCGGAAUUAUUGGGCGUAAAGAGCUCGUAGGCGGUCUGUCGCGUCUGCUGUGAAAACUCGGGGCUUAACCCCGGGCCUGCAGUGGGUACGGGCAGACUAGAGUGCGGUAGGGGAGACUGGAAUUCCUGGUGUAGCGGUGAAAUGCGCAGAUAUCAGGAGGAACACCAAUUGCGAAGGCAGCUCGCUGGGACGUUACUGACGCUGAGACGCGAAAGCGUGGGGAGCAAACAGG
rnacentral:rRNA from 1 species